rnacentral:misc_RNA from 1 species
GGUUGUCUACUCCCCAAAUCAGAAAGAGAAGAAAAAAUAAAAUAAAGAGUUUGAAUAUUCAAUAUCAUUGAUUGGCUUCACAUGACGGUGAACCAGUUAUUUGUUGCUUUGAGAUGAGGGGAAAAAUAGUAGAAAUAGAGAUGCGCACACUCAGUCCAGUUAGGCCAAGAACUUAAAAUUCAAUCUACAUUCUUGCUUUUUGUAUAAGUUGCAAUUAAGUUAUGUCUGCAGCCUAGCUUUCUGGUUUAAUCAAGGUAUGCAUUUGCAUAAGCACAAGGCUUACUUUGUUAUUUAAUGAACCAAGCAAGCAAAUUGAAGUCAAAUAUGAUCUUACCAAGCAAAGUGCCUACCAUUCCAG